UCCAAGCAGAAUUGUUAAUAUCUUCAAUAACAAAUAAAAUUGUAUCCAGUGCUUUGCCUGUUGUGUGUGCUUAGUUCAUAUUUUUCUUGGUUUGAGAGAAGUCCAUAGGAAUUGGGAUUGGAAACUAUUUGUUCAUUUAUUCAGCAAAUACUUACUGAACACUUACUAUAUGACGUGUCAGAGGAGGCCAAAGUGUUAUGGGUUGAAUUGUGUCCCACCAACUGUGACCUCCAGGAUCUCAGAAUGUGACUUAUUUGGAAAUACAGUCUUUAUAGAGGUAUCAAGAGGAAAUGAGGUCAUUAGACUGGGCCCUGAUGCAGUAUGACUGGUGUACUUAUUAGGGAAAUUUGGACACAGAGACAGGCGCACGUAGAAGGAAGACAUAGUGAAGACUGUUGAAAACAGACAAGAUGCCCUAAGUGGAGCCACUUAUGCUGAGCCCCAAGUCACGAAACCAAGACUUAAUUACAGUUUCGGCUCUCCCAGAAAUAGAAUCUUACACCAGUCAAUCAGGAAUAGCCUGACCAGCACCAGUCAGGUAAUCUGCCUGGCAGGCCCCUGCCAUCCCCUAUAAGGAAAGUAAUCUUGCAAUAGCCAAUCUGCUGUUUUGCCUCGUGCAACUUCUUUAUUCCUGCUCCCUUCUGCCUAUAAAAUCUCUUGCCUUGUAUAACUCUUCAGGGAGCUUUUCCAUCUACUAGAUUGGAUGCUGCUUGAUUCAUGAAUCUUUGAAUAGAGCCAAUAAGAUCUUUAAAAUUUACUCAGUUGAAUUUGUUAUUUAAUCAAGACACACACAGGGAGAACACUACAUAAACUUGAAGGCAGAGAGCAAGGUGAUGCUUCUACAAGCCAAGGAAUGCCAAAGAUUGCCUGCAAACCAUCAGAAGCUAGAAGAAAGGCAUGGAACAAAUCCUUCCAUCACAGUCCUCGGAGAGGACCAACUCUGCUGACACCUUGAUCCUGUUCUAGCCUCCAGAAAAGUUGGAGGCGUCCUCAACUGGAAAUAGCUAAGAGAUGGAGCAAAGCUCCAGGAUCCUUGGCAGCAGAGGGAAGAUAAGGAAGAUGUAUAAGUACCCCUUGAAGGGUCUCACACUGGAGUGCAUGCCCUGGUCUGGCUGCCCCCUAUCCGUGUUGUUCCAGGUGUUGCCCAGGCCACGCCGAGCUGCUGUGGGAAGAAGACCAUGGACGGGGCCAUUUUGAUUUCAUGUACUUGAUGAUUUUUAGCCAGAAUGUCUGUGAAUGAAAUUAUAACAGUUAGGUGAAUUAAACUGUUUUUAAAACAAUGAUCCUUCCCCCGCCCCCACCAGCAGAAUUUAAAGCUCGAGAAGGGAAUUUAUAUUUGGGCCAAUAAGAAGAAACCAAAGAAUUGAUAAGAAGCUUGGCAUGAGACCAAGGUCUUCCAAUCUUCCAAAGGCAAAAAACUAGGUUCUAAAAAGGAGCAGGAAGUUGUCAUUCUUUGGCAAUAUGCUCAUUUUAAAAUAAUAUUUCUUUUUCUGCCCAAACUGUUGUUUCCAAAUUUGGAGAUUUUUGUAUCGAAUGCUCUUUAAAUUUCCAAUUUUUUUUUUUUAAACAUUGCAACAAAACUGGAAAGAUCUAUGGAUUUACCUUGAUUUUAAAGAAUUAAUUUUGUGUUUCAUUCUGUAGUGAUACAUGCAGUUAUUACAGAGUGAAAAAUUGGAAAUUUGGUGUACAGCAAGUAUUUGGAUUUUUACACUAAAACCAAAAAUGCUAAAUACUAUGCAAAUGUGAUAAAACAUGGGAUUUUAAUUGCAAUUAAAGUAUAUUAUAAUGGGAAAAAAUGGUGUCUUUUAAGAAGGAAAUAGUUCUAGCAGGACCCUGGACUUAUAUGAAUCUAUAAAAUUUUCCUCUUGAACAUUCUGAGUAAGAUUCAUUUUACAGUCAGUGUUUAUUUUUUGUUUUUGUUUUUUCCUUUCAUAUGCUUUGGUUAUAUAUUAUAAUAUUUUAAAUCGGCUUGGGGGAAUUUGAACUCAUAAUUUUAUAGUAACUGAUAUUUGUAUUUAUUCAGUGACUUCUGAGAAUUUGCAAUUCUACACUAUGUUUAUCUGUAAUUAAAAUAAGGAUCCUGAUAAUGUGAAUUUCAACCAGGAAUCUUUUGAACAAAACCUCAAAA